rnacentral:rRNA from 1 species
UAGGGAAUCUUCGGCAAUGGGGGGAACCCUGACCGAGCAACGCCGCGUGAGUGAAGAAGGUUUUCGGAUCGUAAAACUCUGUUGUUAAGGAAGAACGAGUGUGAGAAUGGAAAGUUCAUACUGUGACGGUACUUAACCAGAAAGGGACGGCUAACUACGUGCCAGCAGCCGCGGUAAUACGUAGGUCCCGAGCGUUGUCCGGAUUUAUUGGGCGUAAAGCGAGCGCAGGCGGUUAGAUAAGUCUGAAGUUAAAGGCAGUGGCUCAACCAUUGUAGGCUUUGGAAACUGUUUAACUUGAGUGCAGAAGGGGAGAGUGGAAUUCCAUGUGUAGCGGUGAAAUGCGUAGAUAUAUGGAGGAACACCGGUGGCGAAAGCGGCUCUCUGGUCUGUAACUGACGCUGAGGCUCGAAAGCGUGGGGAGCGAACAGG